GACGAACGCUGGCGGCGUGCCUAAUACAUGCAAGUAGAACGCUGAAGGAGGAUCUUGCUUCUCUGGAUGAGUUGCGAACGGGUGAGUAACUCGUAUGUAACCUGCCUGGUAGCGGGGGAUAACUAUUGGAAACGAUAGCUAAUACCGCAUAAUAGUAGAUGUUGCAUGACAUUUACUUAAAAUGUGCAAUUGCAUCACUACCAGAUGGACCUUCGUUGUAUUAGCUAGUUGGUGGGGUAGCGGCUCACCAAGGCGACGAUACAUAGCCGACCUGAGAGGGUGAUAGGCCACACUGGGACGGGGACACGGACCAGACUACUACGGGAGGCAGCAGGAGGGAACCUUCGGCAAGGGCCGGAAGUCUGACCGAGCAACGCCGCGUGAGUGACGAAGGGUGUCGGAUCGUAAAGAUCUGUUGUAAGAGAAGAAUGAGUGUGAGAGUGGAAAGUUCACACUGUGACGGUAUCUUACCAGAAAGGGACGGCUAACUACGUG
rnacentral:rRNA from 1 species